AAAUUUAAAGAAUUUGGCGGUGUUUUAGUCUAGUUAGAGGAACCUGUCUUAUAAACGAUAUAACACGAAUUAUCUUACUUGUUUUAGUAACUCAGUUUGUAUACCGUCAUUAUAAGAUAAUUUAGGAGAGAAUAUUAUUGAAAUCACAUUAUUGAGUAUAUUAGAUCAAGGUGCAGCUUAUAGAUAAGUAAAUAUGGGUUACAAUAAAAUUUAUUUAAUACGAAUUAAAUAUUCAAAUGUAUUUAUGAAGGAGGAUUUAAUUGUAAGAAAGGAAAUAGUAAGAUUUUCUGAUAAAAGCUCUAAAUUAU
rnacentral:rRNA from 1 species